UUUCAACUUGGGUGUUUGUCCCCUUCAAAUCUCAUGUUGAAAAGUAAUCACCAAUGGUGGAUAUGGAGCCUGGUGGGAGGUAUUUGAGUCAUGGUGACAGAUUCCCUCAUGAAUGGCUUAGUGCUGUCCUCACAAUGAGUGAGUUCUCACACUAUUAGUUCAUGUAAGAUCUGGCUGUUUAAAGGAACCUGGCACCUUGUUCCUCUCAUGCACACCAGCUCCCUGUUUGCUUCCCACCAUGACUGGAAGCUUCCUGAGGUCUCACCAGGAGCAGAUGCCAGCACCAUGCUUCUUGUACAACAUGCAAUUCCAAGAGGAUUUCUAAUGAACUGUUCUUACAGUCUUAUGAAAAUAUGUUCUCCAAAUGGGGCUUCAGUUAUCUGAAGACUUGGUUAAGGCUGGAGGAUCUGCUUCCAUGAUGGCUCCAAUGGGUGUAAACAGAAGGCCUCAGUUUCCUGCCAUGCGGACCUGUCCUCAGUGCUGCCUGCAUGUCCUUAAAACACCGCUGUAGUUUCUUUUGGUGAGUAAUCCAAAAUGGAGCAAGAGAAGAAACUGUGAUGUUAUUUACAUCCAGCCUCUGAGGUGGCAUGUAAUAAUUUCUGCCAUUUCUUAUUGGUCACACAGACCAAUGUUGAUGCCAUAUGGGAGUAGAUUACAAAAGUGUAUAGAUAUCAGGAGGAAGGCAUUAUUGAGGGCCAUUUUGGAGGCUGGUUAACACAGGACCCAAACACUAUGCUGCCUAUGUUCCUUCAAUUUCCUUAUAGGUUCACCAAACUCAGUGAGUAUAAACAAACCCACUUAAACUCUAUACUGUAUCAAAACUGCCAUCAUUUAUUUCUCCUCUGAUAUUGUCAAUCUGAAUGAAUGACACCACCAUCCAGCUACUUAAACCAGAAAUCUGGAAUUACCUUUCAAUUGAUUUUUUUUUCACCUCACUCUGUUGAUAUAGCAUCUAAAUCAUUUUAAAUCUGGUUAAAUAUUGCUGCCUCACCUUAGUUUUAUCUUACCUCUAAUAUCCUCUCUCACCUUGCUCUUCUUUCUCUUUUUCCCUUCAUUCUAGUCUCACCCCAUAAUCCAGAAGAGUGGUCACUACUAAAUAGAAAUUUCAACAUGCUAUUAUUUUGCCCAAAGGUGGGAUAUAGCACCAAUGAAAAAUAUAUUAUUUUGAAAAACAGAAGGGAAACAAAAUAAAGGUUGGCUAUGCAAUGACUUUUAAAUAAAU
rnacentral:lncRNA from 13 species